rnacentral:rRNA from 1 species
AUUGAACGCUGGCGGCAUGCUUUACACAUGCAAGUCGAACGGCAGCACGGGAGCUUGCUCCUGGUGGCGAGUGGCGAACGGGUGAGUAAUGCGUCGGAACGUGCCGAGUAAUGGGGGAUAACGCAGCGAAAGUUGUGCUAAUACCGCAUAAUCUCCGAGGAGGAAAGCGGGGGACCUUAGGGCCUCGCGUUAUUCGAGCGGCCGACGUCUGAUUAGCUAGUUGGCGGGGUAAGAGCCCACCAAGGCGACGAUCAGUAGCGGGUCUGAGAGGAUGAGCCGCCACACUGGGAGUGAGACACGGCCCAGACUCCUACGGGAGGCAGCGGUGGGGAAUUUUGGGCAAUGGGCGCAAGCCUGAUCCAGCAAUGCCGCGUGCAGGAAGAAGGCCUUCGGGUUGUAAACUGCUUUUGUACGGAACGAAACGGCUCUGGUUAAUACCCGGGGCUAAUGACGGUACCGUAAGAAUAAGCACCGGCUAACUACGUGCCAGCCGCCGCAGUAAGAC